ACGCGAGCUGAGGGCAGAUGAAAUGGAUGUGGGCGUCGAUCCCGCCCGCCGUGACGAUCCGCCCCUCGCCCGCGAUGACCUCCGUGGCGGCUCCGAUCACCAUUCCCGGCGAGACGCCGGCCAUCAGAUCGGGAUUGCCCGCCUUCCCGAUCCCGACGAUGCGGCCGCCCUUGAUCCCGAUGUCCGCCUUCACGAUCCCCCAGUGGUCGAGGAUGAGCGCGUUGGUGACGACGCAGUCGAGCGCCCCUUCGGCCGCCGUGGCCCGGGCGGAUUGCCCCAUCCCGUCCCGAAU
rfam:Bacterium CSP1-6 XT13_C0011, whole genome shotgun sequence.